rnacentral:rRNA from 1 species
GGAUUGCCUCAGUAACGGCGAGUGAAGCGGCAAUAGCUCAAAUUUGAAAUCUGGCCCUUUCGGGGUCCGAGUUGUAAUUUGUAGAGAGUGUUUCGGGUGAGACCACGGUCUAAGUCCGUUGGAACACGGUGUCAUAGAGGGUGAGAAUCCCGUCUGUGACCGUGGAUCGAGCCCAUGUGAAGCCUCUUCGACGAGUCGAGUUGUUUGGGAAUGCAGCUCAAAAUGGGUGGUAAAUUUCAUCUAAAGCUAAAUACUGGCUGGAGACCGAUAGCGCACAAGUAGAGUGAUCGAAAGAUGAAAAGCACUUUGGAAAGAGAGUGAAACAGUACGUGAAAUUGUUGAAAGGGAAGCGCUUGCAACCAGACCUGCCCGUAGGCGAUCAGCCGCUGUUCUCAGUGGUGCACUCGCUCUGCGAUCAGGCCAGCAUCGGUUUCGGCGGUCGGAUAAAGGCCUUGGGAAUGUAGCUCCUUUUCGGGGGAGUCUUAUAGCCCUUGGUGCAAUGCGGCCAGCCGGGACCGAGGACCGCGCUUCGGCUAGGAUGCUGGCGUAAUGGUUGUAAGCGACCCGUCUUGAAACACGGACCAAGGAGUCUAACAUCUAUGCGAGUGUUUGGGUGUCAAACCCAUGCGCGGAAUGAAAGUGAACGGAGGUGAGAACCCUUAAGGGCGCAUCAUCGACCGAUCCAGAUGUCUUCGGAUGGAUUUGAGUAUGAGCAUAGCUGUUGGGACCCGAAAGAUGGUGAACUAUGCCUGAAUAGGGUGAAGCCAGAGGAAACUCUGGUGGAGGCUCGCAGCGGUUCUGACGUGCAAAUCGAUCGUCAAAUUUGGGUAUAGGGGCGAAAGACUAAUCGAACCAUCUAGUAGCUGGUUCCUGCCGAA